rnacentral:rRNA from 1 species
CCUACGGGAGGCAGCAGUGAGGAAUAUUGGUCAAUGGGCGUAAGCCUGAACCAGCCAAGUCGCGUGAGGGAUGAAGGUUCUAUGGAUCGUAAACCUCUUUUAUAAGGGAAUAAAGUGUGGGACGUGUCCUGUUUUGUAUGUCCCUUAUGAAUAAGGAUCGGCUAACUCCGUGCCAGCAGCCGCGGUAAUACGGAGGAUCCGAGCGUUAUCCGGAUUUAUUGGGUUUAAAGGGUGCGUAGGCGGCCUUUUAAGUCAGCGGUGAAAGUCUGUGGCUCAACCAUAGAAUUGCCGUUGAAACUGGGAGGCUUGAGUAUGUUUGAGGCAGGCGGAAUGCGUGGUGUAGCGGUGAAAUGCUUAGAUAUCACGCAGAACCCCGAUUGCGAAGGCAGCCUGCCAGGCCAUGACUGAUGCUGAUGCACGAAAGCGUGGGGAUCAAACAGGAUUAGAUACCCCUGUAGUC